GACGAACGCUGGCGGCGUGCCUAACACAUGCAAGUCGAACGGGGCACCUUCGGGUGCUUAGUGGCGAACGGGUGAGUAACGCGUGAGAAACCUGCCUUUCAGUGGGGGACAACAGUUGGAAACGACUGCUAAUACCGCAUAAUGUUAUUUGAGGGCAUCCUCGGAUAACCAAAGCUUAAUGUGCUGAAAGAUGGUCUCGCGUCUGAUUAGCCAGAUGGCGGGGUAACGGCCACCAUGGCGACGAUCAGUAGCCGGUCUGAGAGGAUGAACGGCCACAUUGGGACUGAGAUACGGCCCAG
rnacentral:rRNA from 1 species